rnacentral:rRNA from 1 species
GAUGAACGCUGGCGGCGUGCCUAAUACAUGCAAGUCGAGCGAACAGACGAGGAGCUUGCUCCUCUGACGUUAGCGGCGGACGGGUGAGUAACACGUGGAUAACCUACCUAUAAGACUGGGAUAACUUCGGGAAACCGGAGCUAAUACCGGAUAAUAUAUUGAACCGCAUGGUUCAAUAGUGAAAGACGGUUUUGCUGUCACUUAUAGAUGGAUCCGCGCCGCAUUAGCUAGUUGGUAAGGUAACGGCUUACCAAGGCAACGAUGCGUAGCCGAACUGAGAGGGUGAUCGGCCACACUGGAACUGAGACACGGUCCAGGCUCCUACGGGAGGCAGCAGUAGGGAAUCUUCCGCAAUGGGCGAAAGCCUGACGGAACAACGCCGCGUGAGUGAUGAAGGUCUUCGGUUCGUAAAACUCUGUUAUUAGGGAAGAACAAAUGUGUAAGUAACUAUGCACGUCUUGACGGUACCUAAUCAAAAAGCCACGGCUAACUACGUG